CCUACGGGUGGCAGCAGUGGGGAAUAUUGCACAAUGGGGGAAACCCUGAUGCAGCGACGCCGCGUGAGCGAUGAAGUAUUUCGGUAUGUAAAGCUCUAUCAGCAGGGACGAAAAUGACGGUACCUGACUAAGAAGCCACGGCUAACUACGGGCAAGAAGCCGCGGUAAUACGUAGGGGGCAAGCGUUAUCCGGAUUUACUGGGUGUAAAGGGGGCGUAGGCGGUCCUGCAAGCCAGAUGUGAAAGCCCGGGGCUCAACCCCUGGACUGCAUUUGAAACUGUAAGGCUAGAGUGUCGUAGAGGCAGGCGGAAUGCGUAGUGUAGCGGUGAAAUGCGUAGAUAUUAGGAGGAACACCGAUGGCGAAGGCAGCCUGCUGGACGAUGACUGACGUUGAGGCUCGAAAGCGUGGGGAGCGAACAGGAUUAGAUACCCCUGUAGUC
rnacentral:rRNA from 1 species